UACGUAGGCAGCAAGCGUUGUCCGGAAUUAUUGGGCGUAAAGAGCGUGUAGGCGGCCAGAUAAGUCCGCUGUGAAAUCUCGAGGCUCAACUUCGAGCUGUCGGUGGAAACUAUCUGGCUAGAGUCCGGAAGAGGAGAAUGGAAUUCCUGGUGUAGCGGUGAAAUGCGCAGAUAUCAGGAGGAACACCGGUGGCGAAGGCGGUUCUCUGGGCCUGUACUGACGCUGAGGAACGAAAGCGUGGGGAGCGAACAGG
rnacentral:rRNA from 1 species